ACAGUUCUGGUUCGUUAACUCUGGACAUUCUAUUGUAAUUAAUUCUACAUAAACUUUGUCAAACAAGCAGUUUAGCCCACGUGUGACAUUAUGCAAUAUACCUCUCAACGGCUUCAGGGAAGGUUGUGUAAUUGCACAGUGUCGUGACUAACCAAAACCCUUCCGUGGCCUGGAACGGUUGAGGACACAUUUUCAAAGGUAUACGUCAGACGUCAGACAGUCAGAGGAGUGUCAGAUAUAACAGAAGAGGUUUGAACUCCAUGCAUGGCUAUUUGAAUUACCUUGGCACCGUCAGCUGCUGCCUCAGAUGGUGUAUCCCCUUCCACUACAGGCGUUGGAGCCUCUUCUUCGACAUCAGUAGGUGCAGCUGCUUCUACAGCAGGAGCCACCUCUUCAGCAAUAACUGCGACUUCAGUGACAGCUUCUUCUUCUGCAGUAGCCUCUUCUGUAGUGGCUUCCUCUUCUGCAGGAGCUGCUACUACUGCAGUAUCCUUUUCCUCAGCAGGAGCUGCUUCUGUAGUAGCUUCUUCUUCUACAGCUUCUUCUUCUGCAGGAGCUUCUUCUUCUACAGCUUCUUCCUCUACAGCAGUGUCAGUAGGGGAAUCUAUAUCUGCCGUCUCCUCUGAAAAGGCAAUGAGAGAGAGAGGUGAGAAGACAGCAGACUGCAUCUGUUUUUUGUUAUACUUAUUUCUUUCUAGUUUGGGAGAUUGGAAUUGAAGACUGUUAUGUUAGCUGAUAUAUGUUAUGCAGCGCUCAAAUAUAUGAAUUUCGAUAUAAUUUAUACUUUUUUCAGAAUCAACAGUUUAAUUUUGCUUCGUAUAUUUUCAGUUGGUGUCAUUGACUUCCUAGGUGGCUUUCACAAAAGCUAACCAUUUUGGAUGUUGCGGAGCCUGAUGUCAAUUUUUAACCUAGAAACACAAUGAAGAGCUUCAACGGUUACGUUUUUUCUUAUUAUAUUGGCGCUAAAAUGAUUAAUCAAUUUGAUAUAUGAUUGUUAUAUAUCUGGAGUUUGUGUGGCUAGAGGCUCGGUGCUUGCUACAUACCGCCCCUUUUUUUAACAGCUCUGGGUCCGGAGGUAAAUUUAGCAUUAAUUUACACUGUUUACCUUUCGUAAAAUCGUAGUACAGAGAGUUUUAAGCCUGGAACCAAGCCGAACGAUCGUCAAGGUAGUCGUGGCGAUUCAACGUUUUAUUCAGGGCAAAAAAGGAUUUGGAAAUCUGAAGAAAACGCAAAGGUAAAAGACUGCACAUUAUAUUUUGUGUAUUUUUCGCAAUGGUUCCAAACCAAUAGCUAAGCGCAUUUCUUGCAUUUUAUAACCUUUGUCAUUAUUACAUUGUUAAUAUUGUUAAUAUAAGUUGUGUCAUUUAUUCUGUGUGUGUGUAUGUAUGUGUGUUUCAUAUAGCGUUGUCUUCUACAUGGUACAUUCCUUUAAUCUUGACUGCAGUCACCACUUAAUAAAGUCACUUGUUUUUAAUACGAAUUCAGUCUCGUAUUCCAGUUACGUAUUCAUUCAACAUUAUGUAUUCUGCUUUUAUAGUAUCAAACCCUAACCUUAACACUAUUACUAAGAAGCACUGGUUAGUGCUAUAUCAUAUAUUUUUCUUAGCUUUUUAUCAUAUAUUCUACAUCACUUUCGCUGGUAUCCAUUUCCAUGGUAACAGCGAGCUCCACCAAUCAAAGACGUCGUGAUACACUAUAGGAUUGUGGGUAGUGUACUACCGGUGUUACACCUACUUGCCGAAUUCUGUGACCCACCGAAAAGUGUGACCCCAGGGGGCGCUGUUGCAUAUUCUCUGCAAUAUGCAAUAUGUACGAGUUUGAAUGGCAUGACAAAACAUACAUAAAACAUGUGAUCUCCCCCCAACCAAUUACCUUUUUAUUAAAGUUGCUUAAUAAAUACAUUUGAUUGAUUUGAUUAGCAUUUUACAGACCCAUACAAUGGAUAGGGCGUUUAGUACGGUCCUUCACCGUUGCUUCUUUACCCAUAAAAAGCUAGUCAUUGUUAAAUUACGCUGAUUUACCUUUGAGCAUUUCGUAUUAUAGGGUAUUUUGUAAAAUUAGCCUAUAAUAAAGCUGUUUAGAAUUAAUGUUAGUAUCAAGAAAAGAAAGACACACCUGUGGGGAGAGAUCUUAUGUUAAUGUGCAACAGCGCCCCCUGGGGUCACACUUUUCGGUGGGCCGCAGAAUUCGGUGUAACACCGGUAAUAGGUUGUUUCAAAUUACAUCGCGAAUAAAACGUGUAUAUCUAAAAACUAUACGUUUACGUCUUUAACUGGUGGCUUUUACAGGAGCAUACGUAUACCAUUGAUUCACAAAAUAACGGCACAUGGUAGGUAUACUUAGGAUAGUUGCGACAUUAUGGCUAUUAAUCAAAAGCUAAAAUCAGAACAACCACAACAUUGUUUUGCGUUGCGUUGACUUGGGUUUGAGCAUUGACUGUGUGUUACAUAACCUUCAUCAUCUGUUAUUAUUUAAGGUUGUUAUGGGGAGUUUUUAUGAUGGACAUGGAACACCGGGGUGUGUAAACGCAUGCACGCACACACGCACACACACACACACACACACACACACACACACACACACACACACACACACACACACACACACACACACACACACACACACACACACACACACACACACAAACACGCAUCAAACACACACACACACAGGCACUAUAGACUGAUUGGUGCCUGAUGUUUGGGCUAAAACAAAAUGUGCACGACAUGACAGAUCAAUCAUCCCUCACCCUGCCCUCAUCUACCAAGGACCCCAGGCCUCCACACCGGCUAAUUAGAAAAGCCUCUUGUGUGUGUGUGUGUGUGUGUGUGUGUGUGUGUGUGUGUGUGUGUGUGUGUGUGUGUGUGUGUGUGUGUGUGUGUGUGUGUGUGUGUGUGUGUGUGUGUGUGUGUGUGUAUGUGUGUGUGUGUGUGUUUGUGUGUUUAGAGUCCAGUAUUGGGACUUGAGCUCUGACUCUAGACACUCAGGGUCCAACUGUACACACCAUUACCUCUCAGAGACCCACAGCUAGAUGUAACUACACAAUGCUGUCUGUCUGCCAGUCUACUUUCACAUAAACGUUGCCAGAAAUUGUCUUCAUUCAGAGAAAAACACAUUCAUUGGUGUUUCCGUCUGUGUGACUCAACUAUGGAAACAUAAUAGAAACAGACUCUCCCUUGAUGAAUUGCAUGCCCUAAGAUUACUGAUGAGAUUCUAUCUCUCUCUCUCUCUGGCACACAUUUGCCUAUAGAGUGUUAUUAUCUCAUUCCUUAAAGCUUGAGAUAAAGAGGUAUGAGUAGAGAUAACUGAAAAUUACGAUAACUCAUCAACAGAAUUGGCACCCCCACCAUAUGGAUGCACACACACACACACACACAUACGGACCCAUGUUGUUACUCUGUGUUGUUCUCCUGUUAGUUUCUACUCCCCCUAUUCCUCUUCCCACACUAUAUCUCUAUCUUCUUCAUUGUUGGUGGUGACGCUUGGCUGUUUCAGGGAUAAAUCUACAAGGAAGUGUGUAUGAGUGUGUGUGUGUGUGUCGUUAGUCCCUAAACAUGAUAGUCUGGUUGGAGAGCAGUGAUAGAGCAGGGCUAUAAAGUUCAGUUAAUGAAGGGUGUGCUGACACCUUGGCCCGGGUCCCAGCCAUCUGUCACUUAUUAGCUUACUAUUUAGCGGUUCAUUUGUAGAACUAGAAGGACUAGAUUUUGGGAAUAGUCAAUGUAUUAAUAAUCAAUAUGGGGUAAGAGAGAGAAGAUGAAGAUGAACCGGUGUGUCUUUGUGCCUCCUCCUCUGUAACUGAACGGAUCAUGUUCCUCCUCGCCCAACUGCUUUCAAUAUUUGCUAGCACAAAACUGUGGUUUUAAUGCAAUCUCAUCAAACAUAUCUAAUAUCGACAGCCAAACAUCUAAUUAUUCUUGUUUGAUACUGUUUUUAAGCAACUAAAACAGAGAACAGAGAGAGAGAGACAGAAAGAGAGAGAGAACAUACUUACAGGCAGAGAAAGAGGUAGAAAGAAUACUUUUGUGAUU
ensembl:lncRNA